AGCGAACGCUGGCGGCGUACUUAACACAUGCAAGUCGAACGAGGAGCUUCGGUGUAGCAAUACAUCGGAGCUUCUAGUGGCGUACGGGUGAGUAACACGUGGGCAACCCGCCCUUGAGUCCGGGAUACCCUCUCGAAAGGGAGGCUAAUACUGGAUACGUUCUUCGGAUCGCGAGAUCUGGAGAGGAAAGGUAGCGAAAGCUGCCGCUCUUGGAGGGGCUCGCGGCCUAUCAGCUAGUUGGUGAGGUCACGGCUCACCAAGGCUAUGACGGGUAGCUGGUCUGAGAGGACGACCAGCCACACGGGAACUGAGACACGGUCCCGACUCCUACGGGAGGCAGCAGUGGGAAUUUUCCGCAAUGGGCGAAAGCCUGACGGAGUGACGCCGCGUGGGGGAU
rnacentral:rRNA from 1 species